GACGAACGCUGGCGGCGUGCCUAAUACAUGCAAGUCGAACGAACUCUGGUAUUGAUUGGUGCUUGCAUCAUGAUUUACAUUUGAGUGAGUGGCGAACUGGUGAGUAACACGUGGGAAACCUGCCCAGAAGCGGGGGAUAACACCUGGAAACAGAUGCUAAUACCGCAUAACAACUUGGACCGCAUGGUCCGAGCUUGAAAGAUGGCUUCGGCUAUCACUUUUGGAUGGUCCCGCGGCGUAUUAGCUAGAUGGUGGGGUAACGGCUCACCAUGGCAAUGAUACGUAGCCGACCUGAGAGGGUAAUCGGCCACAUUGGGACUGAGACACGGCCCAAACUCCUACGGGAGGCAGCAGUAGGGAAUCUUCCACAAUGGACGAAAGUCUGAUGGAGCAACGCCGCGUGAGUGAAGAAGGGUUUCGGCUCGUAAAACUCUGUUGUUAAAGAAGAACAUAUCUGAGAGUAACUGUUCAGGUAUUGACGGUAUUUAACCAGAAAGCCACGGCUAACUACGUGCCAGCAGCCGCGGUAAUACGUAGGUGGCAAGCGUUGUCCGGAUUUAUUGGGCGUAAAGCGAGCGCAGGCGGUUUUUUAAGUCUGAUGUGAAAGCCUUCGGCUCAACCGAAGAAGUGCAUCGGAAACUGGGAAACUUGAGUGCAGAAGAGGACAGUGGAACUCCAUGUGUAGCGGUGAAAUGCGUAGAUAUAUGGAAGAACACCAGUGGCGAAGGCGGCUGUCUGGUCUGUAACUGACGCUGAGGCUCGAAAGUAUGGGUAGCAAACAGGAUUAGAUACCCUGGUAGUCCAUACCGUAAACGAUGAAUGCUAAGUGUUGGAGGGUUUCCGCCCUUCAGUGCUGCAGCUAACGCAUUAAGCAUUCCGCCUGGGGAGUACGGCCGCAAGGCUGAAACUCAAAGGAAUUGACGGGGGCCCGCACAAGCGGUGGAGCAUGUGGUUUAAUUCGAAGCUACGCGAAGAACCUUACCAGGUCUUGACAUACUAUGCAAAUCUAAGAGAUUAGACGUUCCCUUCGGGGACAUGGAUACAGGUGGUGCAUGGUUGUCGUCAGCUCGUGUCGUGAGAUGUUGGGUUAAGUCCCGCAACGAGCGCAACCCUUAUUAUCAGUUGCCAGCAUUAAGUUGGGCACUCUGGUGAGACUGCCGGUGACAAACCGGAGGAAGGUGGGGAUGACGUCAAAUCAUCAUGCCCCUUAUGACCUGGGCUACACACGUGCUACAAUGGAUGGUACAACGAGUUGCGAACUCGCGAGAGUAAGCUAAUCUCUUAAAGCCAUUCUCAGUUCGGAUUGUAGGCUGCAACUCGCCUACAUGAAGUCGGAAUCGCUAGUAAUCGCGGAUCAGCAUGCCGCGGUGAAUACGUUCCCGGGCCUUGUACACACCGCCCGUCACACCAUGAGAGUUUGUAACACCCAAAGUCGGUGGGGUAACCUUUUAGGAACCAGCCGCCUAAGGUGGGACAGAUGAUUAGGGUGAAGUCGUAACAAGGUAGCCGUAG
rnacentral:rRNA from 2 species